AUAGAUUGGAAGUUACUGUAGUAUAGAGCAGGUGCACUCCACAAGCAAACAAGUGGAACUUCUAACUCGCUGACGUUGAGCCCUGCGUUAGAGAAUCCAAGUGGCUUGUUCCCCCAGAGUAAGUAGUGAAGAAGCUUAGGAAGAAGAAUAGAAGCAAGGCAAUAAAAGAAGUCAAGUACAACACGUAUAGGGUGUGAGGCUGAGGCUGCCAAUAAAGAAAGAUGAUUAUGUGGGAAGAGACAAAGAAGCAAAAAGGAAUAAGUUAAGCAAAGCUGUUUCUUUAAAUAAAGAAGUCAUAGGUGGGUUAAGAGCCAGUUGUAAGAUGGUGAGGUGUUGUUUCAUCUAUAUUAGGGUGUAGCCCCAAUGCUUUCUUCUUACUCUUUCUUCUGACUAGAUUCCUUAUUAGGAAGGCGCUAGAUUCCAUUAAGUAUUGGCUAAGGGAACAAGAGGUUGUCCUGAGUUCAGAGUUCGAACGAGCAAAGCAAAUGCGUUAGUGAGCCACUUUCUCGGGGUUUCAAAUCUUUAUUUUCCACCCUUAACGUCAAGCAAGCUGUAAAACCCAUCUUUCUCGGCAACAGACCUCUAUCUCUCUCUGCUCAACUCAUCUUAUGGCUAAUCUAAGCUAAAAACGCUUAUUCUCUCAGUAAGUUUCGGGCACCGCGACCACGUAAAGGGGCUUGUAGAGAAUACUUGAAAACCGUCGUUUAAUCUAUGUUCAACUCCUCUUUAUGGUAAUCUAUCAUUUCUGCCCUGACCCACUGCUUUUCAUUCAUUUUGGAUUAAUAACAACGACGACAGCCCUAGUUGCUUCGCCCCUUGCCUUGACUGUACCCGCUCCUAAUACUUAAUCUCUCUAUUAUUUGAAAACGAUUAAUCUCUCUAGUAUUUGAAAACUCUUAUAGUAGUUGCUAAGUAGUUGCUCGGCCCGUUGCUUGUUCCCCUGCUUGUUGCAUUUCAUUUAGCUAUCCUAGUAAAGAAUAACCUAAGCUCACUACUCACUACUCACUGCUCACUACUCACUGCUCACUGCUGACAUCUUACAUGAAGUAACAAAACAGCUUGUUGAAAGAGAGCUUUUUAUUGCUGGCUCUAAGGAAUAGGCACAUAUACACUAAUAUAAGAAAGUCAACAACCUGCGGACAUCUGACUGCAGGCUCUGCUCUACCUAACACUAAACUAGAAAGAAAGAGAAUUGAAGAUACCGGUUCACUAUAUAUAAAAUGUAACAAACAGUCUUGCUUCGAACAAGUAAGGUUCCGUUGCGCUUGGUGAGUAGAGUUCACCGUUGUUAAGAGUUCUCUAUUCGUAUUGAGGCACAGUUAGUUCAGAUAUUAUUGACCGGCACCCAAUACUAUGAAAUAAGAAAUAGAUUGAAGCCAAUACUAUGAAAUAAGAAAUAGAUUGAAGUUCAAAAGAAUAUAGGUAGGAUGGUUCACAACUAUGCAAAAGAAUAUGGGAAGACGUUGCACUUAAAGGACAGAGAGGAACCAACCCCGAGUUGCUUGUGAAAAAGCUGUUGUUUGCUGCUUACUUGUUUUAGUUACCGCGAAUUGAAGGAAUUCUUAUUAAGAUAAGUCACUUAUUCUAUAGUAACCGAACCUUACUGCUUACUCUGAGGCGGAGGUACCCCGAGCCGAGUUGCUUUAAGAAUUGAGGCAAGGCAGUCGAGGAACCUACUCCCUUUUCUAAUAGUUUGGUUUAGGCCAUUCCAAAAACGAAUCCGACUCUCCCCCCUGCCCCCUUGGGCUGGCUCUUUUCUUCCUUAUUUUGAUCUAGUUUGUGUGUAGUGCGCGUGGUAAGGUGCUUUUUCUGUCUGUGGAGCCGCACUCACUUCCGGGGAUUUCCUCUUCGCAGUCGCUCGAGCUGCCCUCCGGGGAUUUCUUCUUCGCAGUCGCUCGAGCUGCCCGAAGUCACCCUUUCUUGCCACCGGUUCGGCACCCACUAGUAGGCGUUUCCCUAAGGUAUUCCCCAGCACGGCUUAUGCGGAUCUCUCUCUCUACUACCAGGGAACAGGUUCUAAUCCCCAAAGACUCCCCUCCGUCCAAACAAUAGGGCGCUAAGGCAUAAUCUCUCUUUCCUUUCGAUAAGUAAGCAAUGGAUUCAUCUGCGCUCUCGAGCUAUAACAAGGAUUUCCUGGAUAUAACCGAUCUUAUUAUUCCGUUCAUGAAGUGGAGUGGGACCUGUUAUCUCUUCUUAUGGAGUGGAACCCGUUAUCUCCUCUUAUCUAAAAGAUAUUAAAGCUUACAAUCCAGAUAUGAGACUAGGAAUACCUGCACAUCUCCGAUCGUAGAUCAAAUCAGGAAUAUUUCUUUUGCCGGGUCGUUUACUAGACAUAAAAUAGAAGGCUCUGACAAGACCUAAGGUUGCUUGCCUGUGACACUAACCUAGGGGCCGAGCCCAGCCUCAUGUGCUGAUAUAGUUUUCUACUUUAUAGAAUGGCCUCCUUUAUUGAGAAUCCUGACCAACCAUCCCUGUCAUAUGAAGCUCUCUUCUCGGUCUUUUUAGAAGGUGAGGAAGAAUCCUAAACUCCUAUGAAAGAAAUUCGAAUAUGUAAUAUAUUGUAGAGGAGAGUGCAGCAGUAAUAUAUUGUAGAGGAGAGUGCAGCGUCCGGAAGGCUUUCAAUCAUGCUUAUAAGAAGCUAGAGCUUUCCGUUAUGAAGCUAUUGUUUGUGAAUCUCCAUCCCGAAGAUCUUUACUUGAUUUCCACUAUUAAGAAAGCGAAAUGACCCUCAUUCAGUUGAAAAGUCCUGUGAAAGACUAAAGAAAUUCAUAUAAAGUAGGCUACUAUACGUACACGAAUCUAAAGGCAUCGAUUUUCACCAAAGUUAAGGAAAACUAUCAUCGCACCGAAAAAGUAGCCUUCGCUUACGUAAGCCUUUGCUGGCUUUAUGCUUGCUUACCCUAGAAAGACAUCUUUCCCUAACCACCUUAACUAGCCCGCUGGAUUUCUCACUUGAUCAGUCACUUUAUGUCUCACAGGGGAUAACAGUUGGGACUAGGUCCAAAAAGGAUAUCUAAAGAAUUUCCACCCUUAGACAAUGGGCUCGCUUAGACUUAGAAAAGGCCCCUUACAACAAACUUGCCCAGAGAAAGCCUACUAUAAGCUUACAUAAUCACCUACUCUCUAGUCGGAUGUUGCAUAUGUUGUAUAGUUGAUUUAUAGAAUAUGGGAUUUGAUGAACGGGACUGUAUGGGCGUACCCUGGGCCUGCUACAACUCUCACCGGUAUUCAAACCAGGCGACUACUAGACAAGGGGAUUGAGCUCUGUUUAAUAGAUGUUGGUAACUUGACCCACCGAGUACUCUAAAGUUAGCAAGGCAUCGCAGCUGACGCUGCCCUCGCAUCAAAGCAACAGAAUCAUUAGCUACUACUAGGUAUUAUGAUAGAAGUCUGAAAGUCAUAAUCUAGCUUUGAAGGGCAUAAACCUAAUAAGAGGCUGGAGCCAUGUAUCCAAAUUGAUGCUUUCGUCUGGCCGCUACCGCUCUUAUUGCAAAGCUUCUUCUCUGGAAACGGAAACUACACUUGCUGAUUCUUCACCGACAGAUGAAACUAGAACGGAGCUAUCCUUUCCUUCCCGUGCUUGCUGCUGGACUUUAGCCUUGAAAGCAUUUGAGUUUACUCUUUACUUAUUUCUAUUAAUGUCACAAGCUAUAUUCUUUUCUGGCUGGGCUAAGCGCAUUCUUCUUCUUGUCUUGUCCGACCUAUACUUUCCGUUAUGAAUGGAAAUUGAGAAUAUAUCUCUUGCACCAGGAGCCCGGGACUACUUCAUUGAAUCUAGCUGCGCCCUUCGCACUACUUCAUUGAAUCUCUCUUUCACAUGGUAUAUAAGAAAGUCCAGUCAAGUCGAACAGGCAAUUCGAGUCGAUAUGAUGAAAGUAGAACUUCGCAUUCCGAGCCAUCAGCAUUACUAACUAUUGAUGAAGAAUGUCUUUCUUAGUAUUUUCAGUCUGAGUCUCCCAACCAACCGUCUUAGCAGGCAGGGCAUCAGUGAA
rnacentral:lncRNA from 1 species